AUCUUUCUAAUAUAAAGCAAGUAUAGAUGACUUCCAAUCAUCCGGUCUUGGUUAAAACCCAAGGAAAGAUA
rnacentral:tRNA from 1 species